rnacentral:rRNA from 1 species
AUCUAUAAGAUGAGAGUUUGAUCCUGGCUCAGGACGAACGCUGGCGGCAUGCCUAAUACAUGCAAGUCGAACGAGCUUCCGUUGAAUGACGUGCU